rnacentral:rRNA from 1 species
GUUGGCUGUACCAGAAGUAGGUAGCCUAACCGCAAGGGGGGCGCUUACCACGGUGUGGUUCAUGACUGGGGUGAAGUCGUAACAAGGUAGCCGUAGGUGAACCUGCAGAAGGAUCA